UACGUAGGGCACAGACGUUGUUCGGAUUUACUGGGCGUAAAGGGCGCGUAGGCGGCAAUUCAAGUCAUCUGUGAAAUCUCCGGGCUCAACUCGGAAUGGUCAGGUGAUACUGCUUUGCUAGAGUGCAGAAGGGGCAAUCGGAAUUCUUGGUGUAGCGGUGAAAUGCGUAGAUAUCAAGAGGAACACCUGAGGUGAAGACGGGUUGCUGGGCUGACACUGACGCUGAGGCGCGAAAGCUAGGGGAGCAAACGGG
rnacentral:rRNA from 1 species